rnacentral:rRNA from 1 species
CAGUCGCCGCGGUAAUACGAAGGGGGCUAGCGUUGCUCGGAAUUACUGGGCGUAAAGGGAGCGUAGGCGGAUCGUUUAGUCAGGGGUGAAAUCCCGGGGCUCAACCUCGGAACUGCCUUUGAUACUGGCGAUCUUGAGUAUGGGAGAGGUGUGUGGAACUCCGAGUGUAGAGGUGAAAUUCGUAGAUAUUCGGAAGAACACCAGUGGCGAAGGCGACACACUGGCCCGUAACUGACGCUGAGGAGCGAAAGCGUGGGGAGCGAACAGGAUUAGAUACCCCAGUAGUCCCUGUCUCUUAUCA